UUUGUCCUUCCCUCUCUCCUCCCUCCCUCCCUCCCUCCCUCCCUAAUCCUCCCCCACUCUCCCUUCCUCCCACCCUGAGGUGGCACUUGAGUGCAUGUAGUGGUUCUUACAGUUACAUAGUUUGCUAAUCUGCAGGGCAAAGGGAAUAAUAUGGAACUAAUUUAUCCAUUUUGUUUACAUGAAGGGUGCCAAGGGAAUGAAUUUUUCUGAGAACAGCAAUUGUGUUGUGUAUUCAAGGUAAUGUGUUUCAUGAGUAAAGAGACAGCCUUGGAAUAAAUAGGCAUACGCUGCAGCUGAUCAGGAGAUGAGGGCCCAAGAGCAGACUACAAAUUCGCGUUAUCUGAUGGUCAGCCUGCUUGUUAUAGAUAACACCUGCAAAAUAGCACUGCACAUAAGAAGCACCCAAUACAGCCCUCAGAAUAAUUGAAAGGAAAUAAUGGAUAAUAUUGUGGAGGAGAAAGAGCCUACACCAGCUUGAACUUCUUUCUGCUUAUUUUAGAGAAUAAUUUUUGGUGUGAAAUGUCUUCGAAGUCAUGUUCUGAAGAUUCAUUUUGUCUGACAGCAAACUAGCAUGGAUGCAGUAUGGAUGCUGGAUUGACAUCAACGCGAAAGACAAUUACUAACAAGUAAUUUGAUGGUGAAUAUAUAUCUAAAGUUAUCACCCCCUAGUUCCCUGUAAGCAGAUAUGAUAUUAUUAACUGGGGCACACCAUUACUUUGCAAUUCUAGUUUUUCUUUUAUGGAAUCUGGAACAUGGAAAAGAGAAAUGGAUAAUGAAGAUGUGGAGGCAGGACACUAUCAGGCAGUGUCAACACUUAUUCCCAGCCACUUGAAGCCCUGUGUUUGUUUGGUAUUUUUUGUGCCUCAAGGUGAACUUAAUGCACAAAACAGAUUUACAAAAACUGCAUAAUUGUUUUUCUUUUUUCAUACCAUUAAAGUCUUUGCUACUAAAUAUU